rnacentral:tRNA from 1 species
UUACAAUGUAUUUUAUUAAAAAUACUUAUUUUACACGUAAGAGAAUCUAUUUGUUUAGACUUUGUAAGC